AGAUUGAACGCUGGCGGCAGGCCUAACACAUGCAAGUCGAGCGGCAGCACGGGUACUUGUACCUGGUGGCGAGCGGCGGACGGGUGAGUAAUGCCUAGGAAUCUGCCUGAUAGUGGGGGAUAACGCUCGGAAACGGACGCUAAUACCGCAUACGUCCUACGGGAGAAAGCAGGGGACCUUCGGGCCUUGCGCUAUCAGAUGAGCCUAGGUCGGAUUAGCUAGUUGGUGGGUAAUGGCUCACCAAGGCGACGAUCCGUAACUGGUCUGAGAGGAUGAUCAGUCACACUGGAACUGAGACACGGUCCAGACUCCUACGGGAGGCAGCAGUGGGGAAUAUUGGACAAUGGGCGAAAGCCUGAUCCAGCCAUGCCGCGUGUGUGAAGAAGGUCUUCGGAUUGUAAAGCACUUUAAGUUGGAGAAGGCAGUUACCUAAUACGUAAUCUGUUUUGACGUUACCGACAGAAUAAGCACCGGCUAAACUCUGUG
rnacentral:rRNA from 1 species